AUGCAUGCAUGUACGGCGGCUGGGCUAGCUGUUGCCAUCCUACCACGAACCACCGCCGCCGCCACCGCCGCCGCCGGCGUCAUUGCUGCUGCCAUUCCCGAUCAUGCUGUUAUUCCAGAACCCCAGGGUCUCAUGGCCGCCGCCGCCACCGCCGCCUUGGUCUUUGCUGUGCUCAAACUGAUCGCCGCCGCUUGCACCUCCUCCACCCGCGUUCGUACCCGGCUUCAAGUCCUCGAACGGGAACAGCAUCCUUCCCGUUGCGCUCUCCUGCGCCCCCUGCAAUCCAGCGCCGUAUCCCCCGGCGUCGCCACCUCCUCCCGUGUCCAAAGAGAACCCGAGCAUGUUCUGAACCUGCUGCUGGUGUUGCUGGUGUUGCUGCUGCUGCUGCUGCUGAUGGUGUUGCUGAUGCUGCAGCGGCAUGCGGAACUCGCCAAGCGCGAAUCCCGCGGCUGCGUACUCAGGCGGCAUCCCGAGCUGCACCUGCGGCAUCGGUACGUAGCAGCCGGUGCUCCUCAGCAGCUCCAUCGCCGAAAACGCGCCCAUGCCCCUCCCGCCACCCGCGCCGUUGGCCGCCAUGGUGCCUCCCGGGUUGCAGACGCUGCUGCUCUCCAGGCUAGGGAACGCCGCGAACUCCGACGGGUGCAAGACGCGGCCGUGGUGGUGCGGGAACGCCAGGUUGAGGUCGUGCGCGCCCUCGUGCAUCAGCUUCGGGUUCUUGGCCGCCAUCCCGCCGAUCGGGACCGUCCCGGACGCCGCCCCGGAGGUGGAGACGGCGCCCGCCGCGGACGACACCACCGACGACGACGAUCUCUUGUUCUUCCGUGA
rnacentral:rRNA from 1 species